CCUACGGGUGGCUGCGGUGGGGAAUAUUGGACAAUGGGGGGAACCCUGAUCCAGCCAUGCCGCGUGUGUGAAGAAGGCCCUCGGGUUGUAAAGCACUUUCAGUGAGGAAGAACGCCUGGUGGUUAAUACCCAUCAGGAAAGACAUCACUCACAGAAGAAGCACCGGCUAACUCCGUGCCAGCAGCCGCGGUAAUACGGAGGGUGCGAGCGUUAAUCGGAAUUACUGGGCGUAAAGCGCGCGUAGGUGGCUUGAUAAGCCGGUUGUGAAAGCCCCGGGCUCAACCUGGGAACGGCAUCCGGAACUGUCAAGCUAGAGUGCAGGAGAGGAAGGUAGAAUUCCCGGUGUAGCGGUGUAAUGCGUAGAGAUCGGGAGGAAUACCAGUGGCGAAGGCGGCCUUCUGGACUGACACUGACACUGAGGUGCGAAAGCGUGGGUAGCAAACAGGAUUAGAUACCCUGGUAGUC
rnacentral:rRNA from 1 species